AUUAUUAAGUUCCCUCUGUAUGCAGAAUAUUGUGCAACAUGGUUAUGGGUACUACAGUGGAUGUGAGUGUGUAGACCUUGUACAAUAGAGCUUAUAGGCUAAUGAGAAGACAGGAAGAAACAACAGGAACACAUAUAGCUGGAAUGCAGAUGGGAUCUGUGCUACUUACGCUAGCCAUGGGAUGAUUAGAACAAGAUAAGAGACAUGAGGAAGACUUCUUCAAGGAGGUGCUCAAGCCAUGUUUUGGAAAAGAGAACUCAAGGUCUGGCAGGGAGAAAGGAGCAAGACUGCCUGGCAGCUCUUUAGAAAGUUGUGUGACGUAUGAACCAGUUCUUCCCUAUAUGAGAGUGUACCGUACAUCGCAGGCUGUCCAGCAUCGACCCCACUGAUGGAUGCUAGUAGUCCUCCCCGCCAGCACUCAACAUUGUGACAGUCAAAAACAUCCUCUCUACAUUUUCAAUGCCCCUGUUGGGGUAGCAGGACUCCCACUGAGAGACCCCAGUAGAGAUGGUCCCCAAGCAUGCUAACCAUGAAGCAGUGAUAUCGCACAGCACCUGCUUCCAGCAGCCCGGAGCCAAGGGGCAAAAUGGAAAGAGUCAGCAUUUCUCUUUUAGGUUCUCUGCCUCUCUAGUGUGUAAGCUUUUAACCCCCACUACGCGUCUUCGUUCCAUUCUCCUCCAGUACCCAUUUUAGUGAGCUUCUGUUGUUUCUGCCCCAGGAUAUCUCUAACAAAGAACCAAGAUAUUUAUCAGGAGAACUUCUCCCACUCUCCUCUCAGUCCUUGGGGAUCUGAUGAAAUGACACUUCUUGGACUGUGGGGUGGAGCAUGUGAGUCACACCUGGGCCAAUCAUUUUAUCCUAUUUCGUGACCACAUGACCAAUUCAGGGAUGGGAACAUGACCCAGGUGGAACCUAUGAGAGGCAGUGAGAUCUUUCCAGGUACUUCCAGGAAAGAGGGUCUCACUUUUCCCUCUAUAAUGUACACCAGAGAAGGUGUGUGGCUGAAGCUGCUACCAUCCUCUUGUGGCUACAGGAAGCUGGGAUUAAUUGUAACAACGCAAUUGGCAGAUCUGAAAGCUGAGAACAAAAAAGCAAAAAACCUGUGUUCUAAUAACACUAUAUAUGAGCCCUAAAUCCAGCUAUGCCUGGAGCCAGUCUUACUGUGGAAUUUUUAACCUAAGCUGGUUGAUAAAUUAUCUUUUCAUUUAAGACAAAGUCAUGGCAGAUUUUUUGCCACUUGUGAGAAGAAGACAGAUACACCCAAGAAGCUCCUGUUCUUUCUCAUUAACCCAUAUUAAAACCCACUUUCGGGAAAGGAUUCUCCAUUCUAAAUUAUUAAUAACUGAUAAUGCUUCAAAGUCAAAGUAUGACUCCUUCAAGAAAGUUUUCAGCUUUCAGGAUUUGUUCAGCAAAUACUGAGCCCCUUCUGAUGCAAAUAGACAUGGCAGUGUAUGCUAGGAGGAGAGUGUAGCCAAGUUUUCCCAUCAAACUCGGUAUUUCAGUGCCUAAUUUUGGCCAUUCAGAUAAGUUUCAACUUCUAGUAAUGGCCAAGUAAAUUAUAUCUAACUAAACCUUCUGCCAAAGACAGUGGUAAAUUCUGGACCCAAAACACAAUGAUAACAACAAAACCUGUUUGAAGGUUCUUGAAACUGGCCAACAUGGUUUGGUUCUGCAGACAAAAACUGAAGACAUGACCCUUGAAAAAAGGAAAUCACAUAUGGUGAGAUACACAUUUAUCAGGUUUUCCUUCAGCAGCGCUAUCCAUUUCCUGCAGUGGACGGAGGUAGAGCUCAGCAGAAAGUGGCUGUUCUACUGAGUUAAAAAGUUAGAGGUUAGAAUUUGGGGCUUCCACAGUAGCAGGAGAUUGGGAAGGAGGGAAUCUCGCAAAGGAGGGAGUCUCAGAUGGGGAGCUCCCAAAUCUGUGUACAAACUUCUCUGAUUCCUAAACUGUGCAUCUGGGUGAGGUUCAAGGAGCUGAGGGAAAAAUAACAGCUGGAAGGCUAAAAAGGUGUUGUCUUGUGUUGAGCAGAUGGUGCUUAGGGUUUAGUUCUCACCAAGUUAGAGGACUCUGGAGAACACCUAAAGCUUUCUACUGAGACUACAGAAGGAGUAAUGACUACUCCCCAGGACUAAAGCCUAUGUCCUAGGAAUAAAGGCAAAACCAAGAUAGGCCCACCCUGACAAAGCCUAAAACCAACUCUUCAUAGCCGCAUUAUGCAAUAUAGUAACUUCUAGGCACACAUGGCAUUUCAAAUUUAAUUAAAACUAAGUAAAAUUUAACAUGUAGUUCCUCAGACACACUAGCCACAUUUCAAAUGUUCACAGACACAUGUAGUUAAUGGCUAUGAUACUGGACUGCACAGACUACAGAAUAUUUCUAUCAUCAUGGAAGUUCUAUUGAAUGGCAUUGCUCUAUAGGAUCAAGACUAUGCUAGUAAUUUAACUGCUUGAUAGAACAAAUGUCAAAUUUCUUCUAAGGAAGAUAGUAGACUCCAAAGUCUUUUUAAUAUCAUCCAAAAUGCUCAGCAUACAAUUUUUAAAAAUUACUAAUUGUGCAAAGAAUCAGGAAAAUGUAACCUACAGUGAAGAGAAACAACAGGUGAUAAACAUAGACUCACAAGUGACCCAGAUGUUAGAAUUACAAAAGACUUAAUAACUAUAAUAAGUUAAAGAGUCUAUAGGAAAAUAUAUCUGUAGUAGCUGAAGAGAUGGAAAAUUUUAAGAGAGCUAUGGAAACUUUAAAAAAGAACCGAAUGGAAAUCCUGAAACUGAAAGAUACAAUAUCUGACAUUGAAAAUGCAUUAGUUUGGAAUUAACAGCAUAAUGAACACAACAUAAAAAAUCAGUGAGGCU
ensembl:lncRNA LINC02532 long intergenic non-protein coding RNA 2532